rnacentral:tRNA from 1 species
GCGAGAGUGGCGGAAUUGGCAGACGCGCUGGACUUAGAAUCCAGUGGAGUGAUCCGUGUGGGUUCAAGUCCCACCUUUCGCA